GGCGAACGCUGGCGGCGUGCUUAACACAUGCAAGUCGAACGGAAAGGCCCUGCUUUUGUGGGGUGCUCGAGUGGCGAACGGGUGAGUAACACGUGAGUAACCUGCCCUUGACUUUGGGAUAACUUCAGGAAACUGGGGCUAAUACCGGAUAGGAGCUCCUGCUGCAUGGUGGGGGUUGGAAAGUUUCGGCGGUUGGGGAUGGACUCGCGGCUUAUCAGCUUGUUGGUGGGGUAGUGGCUUACCAAGGCUUUGACGGGUAGCCGGCCUGAGAGGGUGACCGGCCACAUUGGGACUGAGAUACGGCCCAGACUCCUACGGGAGGCAGCAGUGGGGAAUAUUGCACAAUGGGCGGAAGCCUGAUGCAGCAGCGCCGCGUUCGGGAUGACGGCCUUCGGGUUGUAAACCGCUUUCGCCUGUGACGAAGCGUGAGUGACGGUAAUGGGUAAAGAAGCACCGGCUAACUACGUG
rnacentral:rRNA from 1 species